rnacentral:rRNA from 1 species
AAUUUAAACUUAGUUUCGAGUGAAUGCUAUCUAGGGACUUGACACAUGCGAGUCGAAUGCGGAAUACUUGUAUUCUGACAUGGCGAACGGGUGAGUAAUGAAUAGGCAAGCUACCCAUAGGAUUGGUGGAAUACCAAAUAUUGAAACGGAUUAAUUCCGCCUAUGGAUGUACCUAUUGAAUAGAUUAGGUAGUUGGUAAGGUAACGGCUUACCAAGCCAAUGAUCUAUAGUUGGUCUGAGAGGACGAUCAACCACAGUGGGAAUGAGAAAGGCCCACACGAGCAAAGUAUCGGCAGCAGUGCGGAAUCUUGGUCAAUGGCCGAAAGGCUGAACCAGUCACCUAGAAGGACGGAUACAUUAAUUUGAUAAAGUCCUAACGGAAAGGAGGAUAAUGACUGUACUUUCCUAUUAAUCCCGACCAAUCUCGUGCCAGCAGUCGCGGUAAUACGAGAGGGGUAAGCAUUAUUCAUCAUUAAUGGGUCUAAAGGGUACGUAGGCUGUAUCAUAAGACUGAAAGGUAUCGAACUAAAUGAAUAAGAGCUUUUCAGUAACUAUGAAACUAUCACCGGCCAUUUGGCCGGUGACUGUUAGGGCCCCGAGGGGGCCCUCGCUAGAGUGUAAUGGAGGAAAGAGGAACUCCGAGAGUAGGGAUGGAAUCUGUUGAUCCUCGGAAGACCGCUUAAGGCGAAGGCUUCUUUCUAACUAAACACUGACGCUGAGGUACGAAAGUAUGGGGAGCAAAACGGAUUAGAGACCCGUGUAGUCCAUACCGUAAACGAUGAGUGCCUUAGAUUGGUUAUUAAUCAGUCUAUAAAUGUAGAUUAAAGCACUCCACCUGGGGAGUACUGCCGCAAGGUUGAAACCCAAAAGUAUAGAGGGUCUUGAAAACCAGCAGUGAAGCAUGUUGUUUAAUGUGAUGAUCCGCACAACAUCUUACCACUCCUUGAAUGCUACACAGGCGUUGCAUGGCUGUCUUCAGUUCGUGUCGUGAGAUGUAAGGUUAAGUCCGCAUAACGAACAAAACCCUUGCAACUAGUUAAUAUCUAGUUGAGCAUCCAGUGAUAAACUGGAAUAAUUAGGACUAAGACAAGCCCUCAUGGCCCUUAUGGAGUGGGCUACAGACGUGCAGCUAGGGGGAAUACAAAAGGAUCCAAUAAGGUAACUUGGAGGUAAUCCCCAAAUUUCCCCUUUGUGGAUUGAGCUCUGUAACUCGAGCUCAUGAAUUAGGAAUUGCUAGUAAUCGGCGAAUCACCAUGUCGCGGUGAAAUUAAAGCUUCAAGAUCUACUAACUGCCUGUCACGGGCUGGGAGUAAGCUAUACCUGAAGUUGUCUAAAGACAUCCAAGGAUAGUAAACGACUGGUCUGAAGUCAUAACAAGGUAGCCGUUCGGGAACGAGUGGCUGAAUGGUUGUUACC